AAAAAAAAGGCUAGGCCUUCAGGAAGAAGAGAACGGAUCAUCGCCCUCCCUAAAAUUCCUAACCCUACUCCCCGAAUUCCGCCGCCGGCUGACGCUCCUUCGGCCCCCAGAUGAGUAUCCCAAAUCCAAUUGAAGCUCCAGUCUUGUCCGAUUUGGUCGUGGAUUGACCAAUCAGAAUCCAUGGCGACAGCUGCCGUCCUUGCGAGCCGCGAGGGCAAGGGCCGCCACUAUAUCCCAAGCUCCGUCAUACUCGACCUCUUUGGCCAAAUCGGCCCCAGCCGCAACGCCACCACCGCCACGUCCAAGACGAGUACCGGCCUGCCCAUCGCGGUGACUUUCUGCGCCGCCCGCCCGCCAGUCCUCUCGCACUUCUCCUUCAGCAGCGCGGCAUGCCCGGAACCCGAGGGUUUGUCCCUGGCGCCCAAGGUCAUCAGCGCGGAUGCUGACCUCGUUCUCCUCCGCGUCCCCGUCCAACCCUUUGGCGAGUCUAAUCCGAUGUUUAGCGACUACUUCGUCUACAGGGCGCACUCCCAAAUCCCAAAGCUGGACCUGCUCCCGAAGUCUGCUCCAUAUUACUUUGGAGAUAAGGAGAUCGCCAUACUGAGCUGCGGCGACGGCAAGUACGCUGUGGCCGCCCUUCAAACCUUGGGUAUGUGUACCUUUAAGCUUCACGUGUACCGGUCUAGACCUGAUGGCAAGCCAGGGAGUUGGACCUCCAAGCUGCUGGAUAUAGAGCUGAAUGUGAAGGAGCUGCCCAGGGACAACUCGUCCUCGAUCUCUCUCGCAUCGCAGAUGCUUUCGUAUCAUCGGACAACAAAGGUGAUCACGCUUGGUGGUGCUAAAGGUACCGUUGGCUGGGUCGAUCUCUGGCGAGGCAUCCUUCUCUGCGACGUGCUGGAAAUUAGCCCCACGCUCCGUGACGUGCCUCUGCCUUCUGUCUCUAAGAGUGACUGGAGGUUAUUCCUUGACUGCUGCCCCUACUAUUUGCGUGACAUCAUUGUCGACCAGAGCAAAAGCACUAUCAAGUAUGUCAAGAUGAACUUGCACGGUGGUGCCUGGAGGGCCACCACAUGGAGCAUGCCUAUCCCGGUCACUUCAUUGAAUGGCUGGCAGUUUCGAUGCUCCGCCCUGUCGACUGAGAUUGAUAUUCCUGCUGAUCUCAAAAGGCAUUAUAAGCUGUUGCAUAAGCUCAUGAGCGGAAGCGCCAACAAGGAGGGGAGUGCUGCAGAGGAAGUCUUGUCCCUGGAAUCUCUACGCAUGGCUUACCCUACCUUGAGCAUCACGGAUGGUGAUGAUAUUGUUUACUUGUUGGCCAAGGGCACCGGCAUGAGGGCUAUGCCGACAGUAUUCUCUGUUGAUCUCAGUAUGCCGACUCUGCGAGGAGUGGCGAAGCUACCCAAGAGGCACCUUGGUUUUAUGCGCUACUUCCUUGCCAGUGGAAUCUCCAAACAUAUCAGGACUCCAGGUAGAAGUGAUUCCCUUGGGCAAACUGAGGUGCAAGAUACGAAUACUUGUGGUCAAGAAAGCAAAAGUGACUCCGUUGAGCAAACUGAGGUGCAAGAUGCGAAUACUUGUGAUCGAGAAAGUGGGUUUGCUUGAUUGAAGGUGUUAUGGAGUUAGAUUGCUGUGCCUUGAAACCUGGGGGCAAGCUUUGCUGGAGAGAGUUAUUCAUAUAGAUACACUGUAAAGAUAUUUAUCUUGGCUUUGUUUACAGUACCUUAGCGGCUGUUGUUGCGAGUAAAUAUACCAGCGGGCAACUAAACCUGCUUGGGUGUCAUUUAGAUCCUACAUUUUUUAUUUUGUGAGUUGUAUGUCCGUGAACAUGCAAAGUGGCAUACCAGUGGCAACUCUUAUAAAGCUGCUGAUGUGUGGAUGCUAACACCGCAUAUUUGCCAUUUUUCACACAUUAAUUACCAGCACUAUC
rnacentral:rRNA from 1 species